GUGAGGCGUUGUGGGUUUCUCUGUGUUGCUGUUUGAGCUGCUGGUUCUCCUGGAGGAGCUCGUCAUGACUCCUUCCACAGUGUGAGUUUGACCAUUGUCAUCAGAGGAGCUCGGGACCUUGUUGGUACCCUAAGAGAGGCCCCGGGCAAACGCCUCUCGUAUGCUGUUACCUCGAAGCCUGGUAAGGAGCCCUGCAGGGCUGUCGUGACUGUGCCUGCCCUACAGAUGAAGAAACUGAGGCUUGGCAGAAUUCAGCACUGUUCGCGGUCACAGGUCCUGGGACAGGAAGUGUCUGGAUUCUGGGUUUGAACGCAGGACUGUAUGAUGGAGGACCCUGCUUGUCAUCCACAUCACAGACAGGGAGAAGGACCCUAGAGGGACACAGGAGAUGUCAGUGGUCAACAGGCAGCAUCAUCUGGGCUCUGGAAUAAGGCUCCCCAAAUGUUGGGCUCCAUUUUUGCCACAUCCAGGAAGAGGACACACAGACACACAGAGGGUAACCAUGGGAGUACAUGAGAGGGAGAAGGAGGCACCAAGCCAAGAAGACAGAGUUCAGCAGGACCCAGCUCUGCCGGAGCCUGACCCCGUAGGACAUCACCUCUGUUGCUGAUGGCACCUGAUCUAUCCCUGCAUGGCAGCUUCUGGAUCUUUCCUGAAAUCAAAGUGACCACAUAGAGUGAAUGCACCGAAUCAGUUCAGGACACAGAUGCAGCCAGGACAGCGCCACUAAAGACACUCAAGAAAGAAGACGCCAGAGCUGCUUCAGAAAGCGGCAAGAACUGUGGCAUGAGUACACUCAGAGUGCAGGGGAGAAUCCUGAGGGGAAUCCAUGGCGCUGUGCCUUCUACUGUAAUAGAUUUGUUUUUAAUUUGGGCAUUCACACAUUUUCUACCACGGGCCUCAUACAGUUACGCAUUCAUAAUUAACACAUGCUUGAUGAGUGUUUUUUAUUUUACAGCUGAAAGGACAUGAAAAAGUUGUGC